GGAGCCUGCGGCCCUGAGCCAAGGCCGGGGUCACAGGUGCCGGAGCUUUCCCGGAGCGGAUCCGCUGGGGAGACCGAGCCCCCGGCAUUUGCUCAGGCAGAGUUGUAAGGGUGCUGACAACGCUCUUGGCUGGGGCCACAGGCAGGCGGAAUCCAGCCGUGGAGUGACAGGUUCUGGAACCAGUCUAGGGACAGCUUGGUUUUCCAGCCCUGCCGCCCGAGACCAGGUUGGCGUUAAGGCCCCAGCUCACCGCCCAGCUGUGGACGGGAGCGUCCGGGUCAGGUGGACACCAGCCGCCUUUGUCUGAAGGUGACUCGAGAGAGACGUCGACCGUUUUAUACCCCGAAAACUGCUGCGUGGUUCGUCCCUGCGGCUGCCAACACGGUUUCUCGCUGUUUUCCUUCUGCAGGUCUGCGUUUCUCGUUCCAGGGUCUGAUCGUAGGAGAAAAUCGCCUUCGCGUAUGGCUUCCUCACCGGUGACUGCCUUUGCGGGUUCUCUCAGGAGCUCGAUCAGACCCUUGACAUCUUUCCCUGGUGUCUUUUCAGCUUCCGACGGCGCCUAGAAAAGUCCCGGCUCCGCUGCGUUAGUUCAGUAGCGACUCAGGUGACUGAGCCUGCCUGCCGUUUGCGUGAACUAACUGGGAUGAGCCGGAAGGAGCCCCUGAGUGACAAUAUGACAUUUUCAGAUUGAGCAAUUAAGGCAGGGCUGCCCUCAGGGAGCUCCUCCUUCAAACAGGUCUUAAAAGAAAAGGCAACAGGACUUCAGAGACAGGUUACGAGGAAUUGUAGAAGAGGCUAGAAUGCAACAAAAGAGAUCAACUGGAGCUGCCAAAUCUCAGGAAACACGUGGAAGGGAAAAAAGCCGUUACAUAAAUGAGAGUCAAGCUGGAGAUGCCAAGAGGAGAACAAGAGUGGCGGGGGUCUCAGGCCGGGGCUCCGAAGAGCGGCUUGGCAAGCUGCCCGCGUGAAACAGAAGGGAACGAAGAGCCGAGGUCGUGAGGGAGAGCAGAGAGAUCCGCAGCACAGAGAAUAUCCACCCACAGGUGCAGAUACGUGGUGUUCAUGGAGAAGGAAGUGGAACCACGACAGAUUCAGAGACAUAAAAAAAAGAGAAAGCUUUUGCAAAACUAAAGGAUGACUAAAUCCUCAGUUUAUAAAGGCACCUUGCAUUUCAGGAAAAAUUCAGGCAUUAUUACCUGAAUGAUUAACAAAUGAUUAGCACAGAUAUAAGUUGGUAAAGUUGCUGUGCUUCAAGUAAGGGUAAAUAAACAAACAAUACUGAUACUACCUCAAAAACAACAACAACAACAACAAAAAGACAAAGUCUGAGCACCGUGGCUCACUCCUGUACUCUGAGCAUUCUAGGAGGCUGAGGUGGGAGGAUCAAUUGAGGCCAGGAAGAUGCCAGCGGCUUAUCAGCGAUCUGAUCCACUCCUGCUAAGGGACAUUCACUGCAGCACUGUGCACGGUGACAGAGCUGUGGAUAUGACUCAAAUAUUGGGGCAGUGGGUAUACGAAAUACAGUGUGCUUGUGUGUGGGGAUACUUCAUAACAGCUGGAAGUAGAUGGAGGAGCUCCCCGCACAGCAACCUGAAAUGACGCUGAGAACAUGCCGUAGAGCGAAAAAAAUGUUGCAGAACGUUCCGGUGCCAUGCCACUUACAUGGCACUAGGGACACGCAGAAAAACAUUAUUUUGUGUAGCUCAUGGGAAAACCAUAUAACGUGUGCAUUGUGUACGGCAAAAUUAUGAAGACACACACGGGUUGCAUGCAAGCUGUGGGAGGAGGGUGGGGGCGGGAAAGGGAGGGAGGUGCGAAGGGUCCUCCGUGUUACCUGCAGAGCGUUCCUUCUCGCUUCUUCAACACGUCUCACGCGGACGAAAUUCCAGCGUCUGUGAGCUCUGCGUGGCAGAUAUGCGAGUGUUGAGUCGCUUUUUGUGCUUUUCUGCACGAGAAACCUCAAAGUCAGUAAAAGGAUGCUGAUCGCACCCGCCUCGCUCCUUUAGGGCCACUGCCAGGUGUCAGGGACGAAAUAUCCGUGAACUGUCUUUGUGAAAUGAACAGCUCUGUACAGA